GACUCUCGUCUCGCGGCCGCGCGGAAAUCGAAACGUUGCUGCGGCAGAUCUCGGUGCGAACCUUGGCUGCUGCUGCUGCUGCCGUUGCUUGCACCGCAUCGAAACGAGGCGGGUUAACUUUGCGGAAGUUCGACUAAAGUCUCC
rnacentral:ncRNA from 1 species